CUCCCUUUAAUGAGUAAAAUGACCUGCCAUUAGUCAUUUUUUACAAUAAUAAAGUUGGGUGCAUUACGCAGCUAAUCAAUUAAUCUUUCUUAUCUUAGACAACGUCAAUUCAGCUAUGUAACAAAAUACCAAUGGGUACAGGCCAAUCCAGUCCAACGUAUUGUCAUUUUGGGAUGCUGUAAAAUAGUUCAGUUGGAUUUGCAGAUGAAGUACUUGAAAAGGUUAGUUUCAAUUAGUUGUGUAUCGUUAGCAAGGUACUAUAAAUAAUUAUACAAAAAUUAUGUGUAAUCGGUUUUGACAAUUGUCAGAAAGUUUGAAGUGGGUUAGGGCAACCUGAGGUUUGUUGACCUCAGGGUUGCUGUGAUCCCCCCUUUGCAUUUGACCCAAAUAUUUCAAAACUUUUUUUUUAAUGCUGUGGCCCCCUUUCUUCACCGUAGGGUUGUGUGUGACUCCCUCAGCAUUUAACCCAAAUUAUUCAAAACAUGAUUCUGUGAGUUGAAAGUGACCGUUUUGAUCGGAGAGAUGGUUUUCUUUUUCGGGCACUUUUAGAAUUUUAGGAGAAAAUUUCCUUGGAGUCCCCUGAUCAAAAUUUUUAAAAAGAUGUUUUUAUCAAUAGAAAGUGAUUCCUUUGAUGAAAAAAAAGGUUUUUGACAAUUUUCAGAAAGUUUGGACUAGUUUGAGGAGGUUUUUGAGAUUACCGAGUUUGCUACACCACUGGGAGGGGGGUCAUAACUCAUAUUCAUAUAUUUGUGUUCUGCCCGACAGAUUUCUUUUAAAAGCGAUAAUGUUUUUACGGUAUGUGAAAAUGAAUUCCGUCUAGUUUCGUCCCUGGGAAGUGACAAAGAAUGUUUUCUUUCAUCAACAAUUACUUUGGACUUAUAAAAACAUGUUUUACAAAAUUUGAAAAUUUCAGUCAAGUGGCAAUGGGGGAGACCACAGCACCUGUCAAGGUUAUUUUUCAAUAAUUCAAAUAUUCCCCCCAAAUCACUCCAGACCUUCUGGAAGUGAUCGAAAAUGUUUUCUUUGGUCAAAACGAUGACUUUCGACUUGUAAGAACAUGUUUUUAAAAAUUCAUAAUUUUCCCCAAAUCACUCCAAACAAAACAUUAAACAUGACGUUGCACAAAAUUUGAAAAUUUCUAUGAAAUACGAACAGGGGAGGGGGCACAUGCAUCCUCUCAGGUUUUCAAUUUUUCAAACCAUUGAUUCAAUCUAAGGUGUAAAAUAUAGUGAACUGAAUAUCAUUAUAUUUGUUUUCUUUUCCAGGCGGAUAAUGUCUCGAUGCUUUAUGAAAGUGACAUGUUUUCUAAGAACAGAUUUGUGCAUGACAAGAAAAGAAAGCUUAUCAUUCAUCAUUGAAUGAAGGACAUCAAUCCAUCUGAGGCAUGGAGAACUAACCGAACCAAACACACCUUACCAAAUCAGGUAUUAGACGUAUAUACAAACUAUAACUUACUUUAUUUCUGUAUAUGAUAAUUAAUGCAACAUUAUUCACCAUAUUUUUAAUAAAAAAGUGGGAAAUCAGCCAGUGGAUUCUCUUGACCCAAUCUCGUACCCAGAGUAUGACCUAACCUGCGAACGGGCAUAGUCUAGGAGAUGAUCUCUAACCUUUGACUGGAAAGAAACGUUCUGUUCAGGCCUGGAGCUACAGGGGUGUGUGGGGGGGUGACACCCCCCAGAAAUUGUAUUCAGUCGGCAGGACUACUAUUCAGUCGGUACGACUGGUAUUCAGUUGGUAGGACUGCUAUUUCGGUUAAAUAUUUUCGCGCAAAGGGCAAGAUAGGAGUCAGAAUUUUAGAAAAAUUUUUUUGAUAAAUGGAGAAAAUUUGUGAUGUCUGGAAAAUUUGUUUGAUGUUCCGAAAAAUUUUGGCACGUCCGGAAAAAUUUUUGGACCCCUAAAAUGG
rnacentral:lncRNA from 1 species